UACGUAGGGUGCAAGCGUUGUCCGGAAUUACUGGGCGUAAAGAGUGUGUAGGCGGUGUUCUAAGUCUGGUGUGAAAUCUCCCGGCUCAACUGGGAGGGUGCGCUAGAAACUGGAAUGCUAGAGGAUGGGAGAGGUAAGCGGAAUUCCUGGUGUAGCGGUGAAAUGCGUAGAUAUCAGGAGGAACACCUGUGGUGUAGACAGCUUACUGGACCAUUUCUGACGCUGAGACACGAAAGCGUGGGUAGCAAACAGG
rnacentral:rRNA from 1 species